GCCCAGCACUUCCGGCCGCCAGGGGCGCUGGCGAGACCUCCUGCUCCCCACGGUGGGGCGCCCCUGGGCAGGUGGUACUACCAGCGAGGCCCCGGCUUGGGGACCGUAGGCGAGUGCGGUGGCUGUUGGGCCCCCAGCGCGGGGGGCUGUGUCGCCAGCCUUCCCCCCAAGAACGACGAGCGCUGGGGGGCUCCCAACGUGACGGGGAGCGGCUGCUGCCCCCGGGACCCUCCCUGCUUCCCUGCGGGGCUCCGAGCCACCGGGUGCGUCCGCGCUGGGGCUGCCCAGGCCCCCAGCAUCACCCUCUGGCCAGCGGCAGUGUCCACGCGGCCGCCAGACCCUGACCCGACGGGGUGCCGCGCCCCAAGACCUCCCUCCCGGCCAGGCCAGGCUGCCUGCAGUGCCUCAGUGCCAGUUACACUAAAUGCAGCAGACGACAAGCGCUCAGUGACGGUGUAGCGUCAUCUACCUCCGUGAGAGAUGAUGAGCUCAUCCGACACGCUAGCCCUCUCUCUCUUGUCUCCUUCACACCCGCCACGAAGGUUUUCAAAGGGAGGAAAAAUUAAGCAUAUGAUGGGUGUUGGGGCUUCAGGACAAUCCAAGGAAUCUGGGUGAGGAUUUCCCAGAAAAACCUACCUCUUGACUUCUCUUGUCAAAUGGGAGUAGACAAGCUCAGCAGAACCCUCUGGAGAAUCCUGAUGCGGAUCAUGAAAGUUCUAGAGUCUUCCCCACAGUUGGUUGUCCUGAGUUUUCCACCGGCGGCGCUAUCGCAGACUGUCAUCUGCAAAUCCAUCAACGUGAGAGUAAGUGAUAGAACUCGUAUCAGUGCUACUGGAGGGAGAAGCCCUUGAACUGAUCCUCACUGUGUGGAGCUUCAGCCAUGUUCAAAAUAAAAUAAAAUAAAUAAAAAUAA